rnacentral:rRNA from 1 species
CCUACGGGUGGCAGCAGUGAGGAAUAUUGGUCAAUGGACGAGAGUCUGAACCAGCCAAGUAGCGUGAAGGAUGACUGCCCUAUGGUUUUUAAACUUCUUUUAUAUGGAAGUACAACGUUCCACGUGAUGGAUUUUGUAUGUACCAUAUGAAUAAGGAUCGGCUAACUCCGUGCCAGCAGCCGCGGUAAUACGGAGGAUCCGAGCGUUAUCCGGAUUUAUUGGGUUUAAAGGGAUCGUAGGUGGAUUGUUAAGUCAGUUGUGAAAGUUGGCGGCUCAACCGUAAAAUUGCAGUUGAAACUGGCAGUCUUGAGUACAGUAGAGGUGGGCGGAAUUCGUGGUGUAGCGGUGAAAUGCGUAGAGAUAACGAAGAACUCCGAUUGCGAAGGCAGUUAACUGGACUGCAACUGACACUGAGGCUCGAAAGUGGGGGUAUCAAACAGGAUUAGAUACCCGAGUAGUC